rnacentral:misc_RNA from 1 species
AAGUCUCUGGGGUAUGUAAUAGAUUCUCUCACAAUAUAUGUUCCUGUGCCAUUUUCUUACUGGAUGUAGAUUGGGAUCUUCUUUUCCCUUUUCUGUGAUCGUUUUGCAUUGCCAUUGCACAUGCUUUAAGUUUUUCUGUUAGUUUAAGUGACUCAGACACCUACACAAGAAAACCAUAUAUCCUAUUGUGCCACUCUUUAUGUGCAUGGUGCUCUUAAACUUUUUGAGCACACCCAGAAAUACAUUAUGCUUUUAUGAUGUCUCCACAAUUUAAAAUUUUGGUUCUCCAUAAUUUUGGAGUAUUAUCCACUAUCCAGUAUUCCAGUGUUUUGAAAACCUUUUAACAUGUACUAGAUGCAGCUUAUUUGUGAGGGCUUGAGCUUUUCUUAGUUUAAGAUGCUGUUGUAAGAGGAUGAUAGCAUGGAAAAACUGAAUA